CUCGUAGGUGGCCAUCUAGUCAGACGUGAAAUCCCUCGGCUUAACCGGGGAACUGCGUCUGAUACUGGACGGCUUGAGUUUGGGAGAGGGACGCGGAAUUCCAGGUGUAGCGGUGAAAUGCGUAGAUAUCUGGAGGAACACCGGUGGCGAAGGCGGCGCCCUGGACCAACACUGACACUGAUGAGCGAAAGCCGGGGGAGCAAACG
rnacentral:rRNA from 1 species